rnacentral:tRNA from 1 species
GCCGAGGUGGCGAAAUUGGUAGACGCGCUAGUCUUAGGAACUAGUAGAGCAAUCUGUGGGAGUUCAAGUCUCCCCCUCGGCA